GGGAAAGAAGCAUUAUGGUAGUGUAGCUGGCUUGAAACCAGUGUUAGGGGGUUCAAUUCCUUCCUUUCUCG
rnacentral:tRNA from 1 species